rnacentral:rRNA from 1 species
CCUACGGGAGGCAGCAGCAGGGAAUAUUGCACAAUGGGCGAAAGCCUGAUGCAGCGACGCCGCGUGGGGGAUGAAUGCCUUCGGGUUGUAAACCCCUUUCAGGAGGGACGAAGCGAAAGUGACGGUACCUCCAGAAGAAGCCCCGGCCAACUACGUGCCAGCAGCCGCGGUAAUACGUAGGGGGCGAGCGUUGUCCGGAUUUAUUGGGCGUAAAGAGCUCGUAGGCGGCUCAGCAAGUCGGCCGUGAAAGCCCAGGGCUCAACCCUGGGACGCCGGUCGAAACUGCUGUGGCUAGGGUCCGGUAGAGGAGAGUGGAAUUCCCGGUGUAGCGGUGAAAUGCGCACAUAUCGGGAGGAACACCAGUAGCGAAGGCGGCUCUCUGGGCCGGUACCGACGCUGAGGAGCGAAAGCUAGGGGAGCAAACAGGAUUAGAUACCCUGGUAGUCCUAGCCGUAAACGUUGGAUACUAGGUGUGGCGGAUUCAUUGACAUCUGCCGUGCCGAAGCUAACGCACUAAGUACCCCGCCUGGGGAGUACGGUCGCAAGGCUAAAACUCAAAGGAAUUGACGG